GAAUAUGAUGAUUAUACUGUCGCCCCAGUCUUACACUCAUCAAUCAACUUGAUGUGUUAUGGUGAUUGACACCUAGAUCUGAUUC